UACGUAGGGCGCAAGCGUUGUCCGGAAUUAUUGGGCGUAAAGAGCUCGUAGGCGGCUUGUCACGUCGGGUGUGAAAGCCCGGGGCUUAACCCCGGGUCUGCAUUCGAUACGGGCUAGCUAGAGUGUGGUAGGGGAGAUCGGAAUUCCUGGUGUAGCGGUGAAAUGCGCAGAUAUCGGGAGGAACACCGGUGGCGAAGGCGGUUCUCUGGGCCUGUACUGACGCUGAGGAGCGAAAGCGUGGGGAGCAAACAGG
rnacentral:rRNA from 1 species